AUUGAACGCUGGCGGCAUGCUUUACACAUGCAAGUCGAACGGUAACAGGCCGCAAGGUGCUGACGAGUGGCGAACGGGUGAGUAAUGCAUCGGAACGUACCCAGUCGUGGGGGAUAACGCAGCGAAAGCUGUGCUAAUACCGCAUACGAUCUAUGGAUGAAAGCGGGGGACCGUAAGGCCUCGCGCGAUUGGAGCGGCCGAUGUCAGAUUAGGUAGUUGGUGGGGCAAAGGCUCACCAAGCCAACGAUCUGUAGCUGGUCUGAGAGGACGACCAGCCACACUGGGACUGAGACACGGCCCAGACUCCUACGGGAGGCAGCAGUGGGGAAUUUUGGACAAUGGGCGCAAGCCUGAUCCAGCAAUGCCGCGUGCAGGAAGAAGGCCUUCGGGUUGUAAACUGCUUUUGUACGGAACGAAAAGGUUUGGGUUAAUACCCUGGGCCGAUGACGGUACCGUAAGAAUAAGCUCCGGCUAACUACGUGCCAGCAGCCGCGGUAA
rnacentral:rRNA from 1 species